rnacentral:rRNA from 1 species
GAUGAACGCUAGCGGCAGGCCUAACACAUGCAAGUCGAGGGGUAUGGCAGCAAUGCCAGAGACCGGCGCACGGGUGCGUAACGCGUAUGCAAUCUACCUUUUACAGAGGGAUAGCCCAGAGAAAUUUGGAUCAAUACCUCAUAGUAUACUUUAGUGGCAUCACUAGAUUAUUAAAGUUCCAACGGUAAAAGAUGAGCAUGCGUCCUAUUAGCUGGAUGGUAAGGUAACGGCUUACCAUGGCUACGAUAGGUAGGGGUCUUGAGAGGGAGAUCCCCCACACUUGUAAUGAGACACGGACCAAGCUCCUACGGGAGGCAGCAGUGAGGAAAAUUGGACAAUCGGCGCAAGCCUGAUCCAGCCAUGCCGCUUGCAGGAAGACGUUCCUAUGGAUUGUAAACUGCUUUUAUACGGGAAGAAACACUCCUACGUGUGGGAGCUUGACGGUACCGUAAGAAUAAGGAUCGGCUAACUCCGUGCCAGCCGCCGCAGUAAGAC